AGUGAACGCUGGCGGUGGGCCUAACACAUGCAAGUCGAACGGAAGCACAGUAAGCGCUUUCUUUUACGGGUGGCGAGUGGCGGACGGGUGAGGCAUACAUCGCCAUCUACUUUUUCGUGGGUGACAACGUAGGGAAACUUACGCUAAUACCGCAUACAACCUACGGGUUAAAGCAGUGGAUCUUCGGACCUUGCGCGAUUGAAUGAGCCGAUGUCGGAUUAGCUAGUUGGCGGGGUAAAGGCCCACCAAGGCGACGAUCCGUAGCUGGUCUGAGAGGAUGAUCGGCCACACUGGAGCUGAGACACGGUCCAGACUCCUACGGGAGGCAGCAGUGGGGAAUAUUGGGCAAUGGGCGCAAGCCUGACCCAGCCAUACCGCGUGAGUGAAGAAGGCCUUCGGGUUGUAAAGCCCUUUUGUUGGGAAAGAAAAGCAGCAGGUUAAUACCCCGCUGUUCUGACGGUACCCAAAGAAUAAGCACCGGCUAACUUCGUG
rnacentral:rRNA from 1 species